CCUACGGGAGGCAGCAGUGGGGAAUAUUGCACAAUGGGCGAAAGCCUGAUGCAGCGACGCCGCGUGGGGGAUGACGGUCUUCGGAUUGUAAACCCCUUUCAGUAGGGACGAAGCGCAAGUGACGGUACCUGCAGAAGAAGCACCGGCUAACUACGUGCCAGCAGCCGCGGUAAU
rnacentral:rRNA from 1 species